GAUGAACGCUGGCGGCACGCCUAACACAUGCAAGUCGAACGGAAUUUAGCAGAGGAAGCUUUCGGGUGGAAUCAGCGAAGAUUUAGUGGCGGACGGGUGAGUAACACGUGAGUAACCUGCCCUUAAGAGUGGAAUAACGUCUGGAAACGGACGCUAAUACCGCAUAAUGUAGAGAGAUGGCAUCAUCACUCUACCAAAGAUUUAUCGCUUAAGGAUGGACUCGCGCCCGAUUAGCUAGUUGGUGAGGUAAUGGCUCACCAAGGCGACGAUCGGUAGCCGGACUGAGAGGUUGAACGGCCACAUUGGGACUGAGACACGGCCCAGACUCCUACGGGAGGCAGCAGUGGGGGAUAUUGCACAAUGGAGGAAACUCUGAUGCAGCGAUGCCGCGUGUAGGAAGACGGUCUUAUGGAUUGUAAACUACUGUUUUCGGGGACGAUAAUGACGGUACCCGACAAGAAAGCUCCGGCUAACUACGUGCCAGCAGCCGCGGUAAUAC
rnacentral:rRNA from 1 species